rnacentral:rRNA from 1 species
AUGCCCCCUCCGGCAAUGGCGCUCCGGCAACUCAUCGCGUGCGUCCUGUGCAUGUUCCUCCUCCUGGCCGUCGCCGCCGCUGCCGGCCCAAGCCCCCUGCAGCCUCAGGACCUUGUCGGCCGCGUCCACACGGGCUGCGCCAACACGCUGAAUGUGGUGCCGUGGGACUGCGCGGACCAGUUCAUCCGGGCCAUCCUCAGCCGCCGCACGGCGGAUACAAUCCCCGUCACCUACGACUGCUGCGCCAAGCUCGCCUGCGUUCGCGAGGGGCCGUGCGUAGACCUGCUCCGCAGGGUCUGCUUGCCCCCUCAUAGGGGCUACUGCCAGUAG